UUCAUGUUUAGCUCUUCCUCUC
rnacentral:piRNA from 1 species